rnacentral:siRNA from 1 species
UUAUCAAGUGGUGCCGAUAAGUG